rnacentral:rRNA from 1 species
AGAAUCAACGUUGGCGGCGUGCCUAACACAUGCAAGUCGCACGAGAAAGGGACUUCGGUCCUGAGUACAGUGGCGCACGGGUGAGUAACACGUGAAUCAUCUACCUUCGAGUGGGGAAUAACUGAGAGAAAUCUUAGCUAAUACCGCAUAAUACCUACGGGUCAAAGCAGCAAUGCGCUUGAAGAGGAGUUCGCGGCAGAUUAGUUAGUUGGCGGGGUAAUGGCCCACCAAGACGAUGAUCUGUA